UGAAUUGUUUAUGAAUUUCAUAGAAAAGAAGGGGAAUGGGGCUUCAUAAUUCUUUGGUGCUCAUAGUCCCUGAAGUUCUUAUUUUGGCUGUCUCCCCACAUUUUUUUCUGCACGAGCUCCUGCUUCUUUCGUCCUUUGAAUUGGAGUUUUUAGACUUUUUUUUGCUGUCAAAACACCUAAUUUGUACGUUUGCAAUGCCUACUAAGAGAAGCUCUCACAACCUGAAAAAUCUCUGCACUAGCACAAUGGUUAGCCACCUCUGAAAUACCCACUCAGAAACCCAGAAGCUAUAUGUAGUCUUGUCCCAAGUAAAAGGCGGACCUCCAACCCAGUGGUGUUUAUUUUUCCUUUAAUCAACUAGUGAAGCAGCACAGACAUACAUAAAUGCCAAGGGUCUUCUCCCAAAACAGCAGCAAAAUGAGGUUAGAGAUGCUGGGAGGAUCCCCUGGUGAGUCCUGGCAAAGUUUGAGACAGUCCUGGGCUUUCUCAUGUCUGAGCUCAACACUCAACAGCUCACCACAAGGCCGUCCCAGUGAAC
rnacentral:lncRNA from 1 species